GGACUACUCGGGUUUCUAAUCCUGUUUGCUCCCCACGCUUUCGAGUCUUAGCGUCAGUAACCGUCCAGAUAGCCGCCUUCGCCACUGGUGUUCUUCCCAAUCUCUACGUAUUUCACCACUACACUGGGAAUUCCACUAUCCUCUCCGGUCCUCUAGCCACCCAGUACCAAGUGCAUUUCUUGAGUUGAGCUCAAGGCUUUCACACCUGACUUGGGCAACCGCCUACACUCGCUUUACGCCCAGUAAUUCCGAACAACGCUAGCCCCCUUCGUCUUACCGCGGCGGCUGGCAC
rnacentral:rRNA from 1 species